rnacentral:rRNA from 1 species
UACGUAGGGCGCGAGCGUUGUCCGGAAUUAUUGGGCGUAAAGAGCUCGUAGGCGGCCUGUCGCGUCCGCUGUGAAAUCCCGGGGCUUAACCCCGGGCCUGCAGUGGAUACGGGCAGGCUGGAGGCAGGCAGGGGAGAACGGAAUUCCCGGUGUAGCGGUGAAAUGCGCAGAUAUCAGGAAGAACACCCGUGGCGAAGGCGGCUCUCUGGGACGGUACUGACGCUGAGACGCGAAAGCGUGGGGAGCGAACAGG